CCGUGAGGGAAAGGCGAAAAGAACCCCGGCGAGGGGAGUGAAAAAGAACCUGAAACCGUGUACGUACAAGCAGUGGGAGCCUCUUUAUGGGGUGACUGCGUACCUUUUGUAUAAUGGGUCAGCGACUUAUAUUCUGUAGCAAGGUUAACCGAAUAGGGGAGCCGAAGGGAAACCGAGUCUUAACUGGGCGUUAAGUUGCAGGGUAUAGACCCGAAACCCGGUGAUCUAGCCAUGGGCAGGUUGAAGGUUGGGUAACACUAACUGGAGGACCGAACCGACUAAUGUUGAAAAAUUAGCGGAUGACUUGUGGCUGGGGGUGAAAGGCCAAUCAAACCGGGAGAUAGCUGGUUCUCCCCGAAAGCUAUUUAGGUAGCGCCUCGUGAAUUCAUCUCCGGGGGUAGAGCACUGUUUCGGCAAGGGGGUCAUCCCGACUUACCAACCCGAUGCAAACUGCGAAUACCGGAGAAUGUUAUCACGGGAGACACACGGCGGGUGCUAACGUCCGUCGUGAAGAGGGAAACAACCCAGACCGCCAGCUAAGGUCCCAAAGUCAUGGUUAAGUGGGAAACGAUGUGGGAAGGCCCAGACAGCCAGGAUGUUGGCUUAGAAGCAGCCAUCAUUUAAAGAAAGCGUAAUAGCUCACUGGUCGAGUCGGCCUGCGCGGAAGAUGUAACGGGGCUAAACCAUGCACCGAAGCUGCGGCAGCGACGCUUAUGCGUUGUUGGGUAGGGGAGCGUUCUGUAAGCCUGCGAAGGUGUACUGU
rnacentral:rRNA from 1 species